AAACUUUACUUCACUACAAAAGAAAAAGGACACUAAACUGUCUAAACUGCUACAUGUCACAAGGAGCCACAACAGUAGCUCCCUUAGCCCACCCAACAAUGUUGUUAAUCUUUCCAGCUAUUCUCUUAGCCCGGCAGAAGAAUCUGUCCUAUUUUGGGGCUUCUCCUUUUGUCCCUCCAGACUCACAAACAUGAUACAGUUCUGCCGUGACCUAGAAUCCUGCUUUCACCGUCUCCGACUCAAAGAAUACUUCCAACACACCUCUGAACAACAUACUAACCCACAGAAUCCUUCCUACCAAUACUACAAAAAGAUGGAUUCUGCAUGGACUCCUCCUGAAGGUCGAAACAACAGAUUUGACUUCUACAUAGAUUGUUUCCAUCGACGUGCAGGGGCUGAAAUUGUGGAAAAGCAGCAUCAUUUGUCCUAUAACCUAAUCCGUGCUGAACACAAUGCCAUCAACAGCCUCAGGAACAACUCUGACAUCAUAAUCAAAAAAGCUGACAAAGGAGGUGCUCUAUUCAUCAUGAAUAAGUUGGAAUAUGAACAAGAGGCUGCUAGGCAGCUCUCUAACUCCACAUUCUACAGGCCAUUAUCCUCUGAUCCCACUGAGGAUUACCAAAAGAAACUACACCAUCUGCUCAAGAAACUCCCUGAAAAAGCACAGGAACAGAUCUGUACAGACACAUGCCUAGAACUCCGACCAGGGGUAUUCUAUUUGCUACUCAAGAUCCAUAAACCUGGAAAUCCUGGACACCCCAUCAUCUCAAGCAUUGGCACCCUUCAGCAGGAUUGUCUGGCUAUGUGGGACUCUCUCUUCAGGCCCUACGCUACCAGCACUCCCAGCUAUCUUCGAGACACCACUGACUUCCUGAGAAAACUACAAUCCAUCAGUGAUCUUCCAGAAAACACCAUCCUGGCUACUAUGGAUGUAGAAGCCCUCUACACCAACAUUCCACAUGAAGAUGGACUACAAGCCAUCAGGAAUAGUAUCCCCGAUAAUAUCGUGGCAAACCUGGUGGCUGAACUUUGUGACUUUGUUCUCACCCACAACUAUUUCACAUUUGGGGACAAUGUAUACCUUCAAGUCAGCGGCACUGCUAUGGGUACCCGCAUGGCCCCAUAGUAAGCCAACAUUUUUAUGGCUGACUUAGAACAACUCUUCCUCUGCUCUCGUCCCCUAAUGCCCCUACUCUACUUGCGCUACAUUGAUGACAUCUUCAUCAUCUGGACCCAUGGAAAAGAAGCCCUCGAGGAAUUUCACCAUGAUUUU
rnacentral:lncRNA from 1 species